CUGAAGCUGGACCCAAAAGCUGAAAAUAAGCAGCUGCAAAUGUAAAUGGUCCCCUUUGGUAUCCAGCACGCCCAAUUAGAGAAGUGGCCCACAUGAGAAUUGGGAAACCAAGGACUUUGUCCCUGAGCUGCCACAUUGGACGAGGAAACUGAAGCUCACUGGGAGCACGGAAACAAGGCAGAAAAACAGACUUCUGGCAGUGAUGUCAUUGUUGAAGUUUUGUGUUGAGUACUUGAAACCAGCAACCCAGCUGUGA
rnacentral:lncRNA from 1 species